UACGUAGGGGGCAAGCGUUAUCCGGAUUUACUGGGUGUAGAGGGAGCGUAGACGGUUAAUCAAGUCAGAAGUGAAAACCCAGGGCUCAACCUUGGGACUGCUUUUGAAACUGAGUAGCUAGAGUGCAGGAGAGGUAAGCGGAAUUCCUAGUGUAGCGGUGAAAUGCGUAGAUAUUAGGAGGAACACCAGUGGCGAAGGCGGCUUACUGGACUGUAACUGACGUUGAGGCUCGAAAGCGUGGGGAGCAAACAGG
rnacentral:rRNA from 1 species